AUAUGGAGGUUCCUUAACAAACUAAACAUGGAAUUACUAUAUGAUCCAGCAAUCCUCCUCAUAUAUCCAGAAAAGAUGAAAACUCUAAUUCAAAAAGAUACAUGCACCCCAAUAUUCAUUGUAGCAAUAUUUCAAAAAAAAUUUAAGUAUAGUUGAUUUACAGUGUGCCAAUUUCUGCUGUAUAGCAAAGUGACUCAGUCAUACAUAUAUAUAUAUACAUGAUUUUUAAAUACUAUUUUAAAUCAUGCUAUAUCCCAGGAGACUGGAUAUAGUUCCCUGUGCUGUACAGUAAGAUCUCAUUGCUUAUCCAUUCUAAAUGUAAUCGUUUGCAUCUACUAACUCCAGACUUCCAAUCCAUCCCACUCAUACCCAUCUCCCCCUUGGCAACCACAAGUCUGCUCUCUAUGUCUGUGAGUCUGUUUCUGUUUUGUACAUAGGUUCAUUUGUGCCACAUUUUAGAUCCCACAUAUAAGUGACAUCAUAUAGUAUUUGUCUUUUUCUUUCUGACUUCACUUAGUAUGAGAAUCUCUCAUUGCAUCCAUGUUGUUGCAGCCCUAUUGACAAUAGCCAAGACAUGAAAGCAACCUAAAUGUCCGUCAACAGAUGAAUGGAUAAAGGACAUGUGGGGUGUAUGUGUAUGCAUACAUACAAUUGAAUAUUAGUCAGCCAUUAAAAAAAUGAAAUAAUGCCACUUUCAGCAGCAUGGACAUUAAGAGAAUUAAGUCAGACAAGAAAAAUAUGCAAUAUCACUUAUAUGUGGAAUCUGAAAAAAAAUGAUACAAGUGAACUUAUUUACAAAAAAGAAAUGGACUCACAGACAUAGAAAACAAACUUACGGUUACCAAAGGGGAAAGAGGAGAGAGGGAUAAGUUAGGAGUUUGGGAUUUAAAAAAAUUUGAGAGCUGAUCAUGCACUAUCCAAAUAAGCAGCCACUUGAGCACUUCCCAGGUGGAUAGUCCAAAUUGAGAUAUGCUCUAAGUAUUUUAUAUGCAGAUCAGAUUUUGAAGAUUUAAUAUGCAAAAAUAUAAAAUGCCUCAAUUUUUAUAUUGAUUACAUGUUGAAAGGCAGUAUUUUGACAUUGAAUUAAAGAAAACAAUGAAAUGAAUUUCACUUGUUUCUUUUUAAUUAAUGCGGCUCCUAGAAAUUUAGAUAAUGUAGCUUGUCAAUAUCUCUCUCUCUAUUGGACAGCACUGGACUGAAAGUACUCAAAGUUUAAAUUAGGUGCUCUUGGCCCAAGGGAGAGAGCUCAGCCAGCUGGGGAGUUUGGAAAGGUCACGUGGACCGAAUUGACCUUGGAGAAUGACAAGAUUUUGGCAAGUGGUGCCCUGGGAGGAUUCUGAAGCCUAUCAGAUGGAGGAAGUAGCAUCAAUAGAGGCUGGGAGACAACAGAAUGGUUUCUUUGUUGGUACAGAAGUGAGUUUAGCUGUAAUAAGGGACAAAGCAUGUGACAAGUCUAGGUAAAUAGGCAUAGGCCUUAUUGUGGGCUCUCCUCGUGGGUUAGGGGUUUGGACCUGUUUUUGGCUGGCAACAGGGGAGGGGAGGUGACUACGCCAUAGUUUUGAGCAGGGAGUAGUAACUUUGAAAGGUGAUUAGAUGUCUGAUCUGGAAAAUAUAAGUUGAUUGGAUUGGAGUAAGAAAGACACUAAGUGGUUAAACCAGGUUAACUAGGAAAGACCAAAGGUCUAAUAUCAGAUGCCAGUGGAACUGGGAAGUAGAGGAUGGUGGAAAGCCACUUUAUACUGUGCCAAGGAUAUUUGUGAAUGAGUGAGAACACCAGUGUUUUGUGCUUGACGAAUUUGGAUAAUGGUGAUGCCCUCAUAGAAAUGCAGACCUUAGAAGAAGUUGGUUUGAGACUCAUAUGAUGUGUUUAGUUUGAGACAGCCCACUAAUAUGAUGUGUUUAGUUACAAGACAGGCCAGCUCGCAGAAGCUUGCUCACUUCGGUCUUUUGCUGGCAAAAAUGGUGCUGGACCAUUCUUUGCUUUUGGCCAGCUCUGUCUUUCCUGACCCUUCCCGCCAUCCACCAUGGUCACAGUUAAUUGAUCAGGGAAAGGGGUCUGACCUUUGGAUAUUUGCUCAUUGGCUGGUCAGUGGAACUUGAGAUGAUUAGGCUUGUAAGGGCUGAGUGGAGCAGUUCUUUUUUAGACAUCUGAACUGGAGAUACAAGAGAGAGAGCUGGUGUAGGGACAGGAGAAAGAAACAUGGGGAGGAACAGCAGGGAAAGGGGAAACCUAAGCCAAUGAGAGUGGUGGAGAGAUGAGCAGGACCAGUGAACUCCUGGCCACUGGACUGUGUAGGUUCCUGGACAGAUCUGCCACAGCCCGUGCUUUGCCCUUCUGGGAAGAGUGGCUCUUCAUAGUUCUGGUGAGAUAAUGGCCGAAUGAGCAUGAUUCCUUUCCUCUUUAUUCCCUCCGUUUUCCUAACAGGAAAGCUCCAUUGGCUAACCAAGAAGGGUGAUGAGGUGGAUGUUUGAAAUUGUUAGAAAGGCAGGUUUGGAAUUAAGAGAGGAGGUCGGCGUGGAGAUGCAAAGUUAAGAAAAGCCCAAUUUGUUCAUGCAAGAGGCAUGAGAUUGUAAACAGUACUCUUCAGUGGCAGAGGAAGCCCAGCAUUCUAAAGGCAGUCGAUGCUAAAUUGCUUGCUGAUAACAGGUGUAAUAGGUGUGGCAAAGCAUUCAGCCAGCAACACUAAUGGAAGUCUGAGUUUGCAGUAAGCCUUGUUUAAGGGAUGAAGGUUCUGCUAUAGGGAAGGAGCAAGUUAUUCAACAAGUUACUCAUUAAUCUCCUUAACAGAGCUGCUCUGUUUGCAAAGUAAGGUUAGCAGUUGUUUUAGUUUAUAUUCUUCAGAGAUGUUUUGAGGACAAACAAGUAACAGCUUUGCAUGUUGUAUUUUUCAUUAGAUACUCCCGGUCUACAGAGGCAGUAGCUGGCCUGACAAUUUUUAUAAACAGCUUAGAACAGGCAGCUCUGAGUAGUGGCUCAGGGAGGGCUUUUGGAGUGGGGGGGGGGGGGGCUUCCGUUUGGUCUAGAUGACAAAUGUAGGUGAAAUGCAUUUCUCCAUAUGGUUGACAACUGGGAUCAGAGUCUUAAGCUGUCAGGACUGAACUCUGUAUAUCUAGCAUGGCAAUUGUUUUGAGAGAAAAAUACAGCAAAAGAGAGGUGUGUACAUAAAUUUUUUAAUAAAAACUGUUCAAAUAAACUGUCCACAAAACAGUAUGUAUAUUUGGUAUGCCAGUUUCGUAAGUUAAGAAAUGCAUGUGACAAAUCCUAGAGGGGGACCCACAUCCAAAUGUUAAUAGUUAUGGUUGGGUGGUAGGAUGAUUCAUGCGUUACGUUUUUCUUUGUGUUUGUCUUUGUUUUCUAAGACUUUUCUUCUCCCCUUACACAUAGCAUGAAUUACUUGAGUAAUUAAAAAAACAGCGAAUGCUUUUAAAAACAAUUUUGUCUAGGUGUUUUUCAUAAUAUAUACUUUUGUUUCUCAAAGAUGGAGUGGCUGUUUUCACUGCCUAGUCUCAUUUAUAAUGCAGCAGUUCUUUAGUCUGUUUUAGCAAUGGAUUAAAUUAAUGCAGAGCAAAAACAGAUUUAACUUGAUUUUUAAGCUUUGAUUCCUCAAAAUAAAGGGUGAUGACUGUUCCUAUUGAACAUUUAAAAAUAUGUUUUUUCUUUUUCUGUUCUUUUUUUUUUUUGCUUUUUAGGGCUGCACCCGUGGCAUAUGGAGGUUCCCAGGCUAGGGGUCUAAUCAGAGCCACAGCUGCAGAUCUACUUCACAGCAAUGCAGGAUCCGAGCCGCAUCUGCAACCUACACCAUAGCUCACAGCAGUGCCAGAUCCUUAACCCACUGAGCAAGGCCAGGGAUUGAACCCGCAGCCUCAUGGUUUCUAGUCAGAUUCGUUUCUACUGCACCAUGAUGGGAACUCCUAAAAAGAAAUUUUUGAGAUGUGUUUCAAAUACAAUCCUAAGUGAAUAAUGUGAUAAUUACCUGUGUAUCUAUCAUCCAGCUUUUAAAAGAUCAUGGCAUUAUCCUUAUUUGCUUGGGGUUUGGGUAUUUGAACUUGAAAGAAAUAUUAAAAAGUUAUGCUUGAUUCUUCUACAUCUCCUCUUUGUCAUGAAAGCAAAGUUUAUCAGUUGAGUGUGUUUUGAUACAUUUACUAAUAUGUACGUAUCCACAAUUAUGAUAAAGUGUUGCCCUCAGAUUUUUAAGCUUUGUGUUAAUGAAUCAUGCCUUGCAUAUUGUUUUGAAACUUGCGGUUUCCUUGCCUUGACAUUGUUUAACAGGUUUCCAUGUUGAUAGAUGUGGAUCAAGUUCAGGGGUUCACAAGCUAUGUAUGGCCCAUGUGCCAAGUCUAGCCAGCCCCCUCUUUUUGUAAAUAAACUUUACUAUCUAUGGCUGCUUGUACACCAACGCAUCAGAGUUGAGUAGUUGUGAUAGAGACUGUAUGGCCUGGAAAGCCUAGAAUAUUUACUGCCUGGCUCAUUACAGAAAAAGUUUGCUGACUUCUGAUCUAGCCCAUCCUUUGUGUGGCUAUAUCAUUAUUUAUCCAUUUUCCUGCCCAUGGACACUUAGUUCCUGUUUAUUUGUAAGAAGUGAUGUUUUGGUGAACAUUGGUUUGUGUGUAUAGAUAUAGAUAUCUCCUUACCAUGUGAGUUGAGAGGGUUUCUAGGGUAGCCUAUUGCUCAUGAAGCAGUUAAGCUUUUUAAUAUAUUUUGAUGUGUGUUUCAUUCUU
ensembl:lncRNA